rnacentral:tRNA from 1 species
GCAGAUAUGGUGGAAUGGCAGACACAGCAGACUCAAAAUCUGCCGUAGCAAUACGUGUGGGUUCAAGUCCCACUAUCUGCACCA